rnacentral:rRNA from 1 species
UACGUAGGGCGCAAGCGUUGUCCGGAAUUAUUGGGCGUAAAGAGCUCGUAGGCGGCUUGUCACGUCGGUUGUGAAAGCCCGGGGCUUAACCCCGGGUCUGCAGUCGAUACGGGCAGGCUAGAGUUCGGUAGGGGAGAUCGGAAUUCCUGGUGUAGCGGUGAAAUGCGUAGAUAUCUGGAGGAACACCGGUGGCGAAGGCGGCAUCCUGGACCAACACUGACACUGAGGAGCGAAAGCCAGGGGAGCAAACGGG